rnacentral:ncRNA from 2 species
UUGACAGGCUCUGGAGAGUCCCUUAAAUGGGCGCCGAAGGUGUAAGCGCGACGCGGGUUGAAGCGAUCGCGUGAUCUCUCAGGCAAACGGACAGAGUGAAUCCU